rnacentral:misc_RNA from 1 species
GAAAUGCGAUACGUAAUGCGAAUUGCACAACCGCGAGUCAUCAAAUCUUUGAACGCAAAUGGCGACAGCGCAAGCUGUCAUGUUCGUUUCAGUGUAUUUGGUUACCAACAUCACAUAUCCAAAUGCGAUUGAAGAAAUUCUCUCGCCAAAUAUGGAGUCGCUUGGUGCCGACCAUUAAACGAAGUAGUCACUAAAUUAAGUGAUGUCGUAUUAAUUGGUUGAACACCUAUAAGAGCGAUUCAUCAAAUACAUAUCCUCAAUACGAUACCUGAAAUGAGCAAGAUUACCCGCUGAACUUAA